rnacentral:rRNA from 1 species
UACGGAGGGGGCAAGCGUUAAUCGGAAUUACUGGGCGUAAAGCGCACGCAGGCGGUUUGUCAAGUCGGAUGUGAAAUCCCCGGGCUUAACCUGGGAACUGCAUCCAAAACUGGCAAGCUAGAGUCUUGUAGAGGGGGGUAGAAUUCCAUGUGUAGCGGUGAAAUGCGUAGAGAUGUGGAGGAAUACCGGUGGCGAAGGCGGCCCCCUGGACAAAGACUGACGCUCAGGUGCGAAAGCGUGGGGAGCAAACAGG